UACGGAGGGUGCAAGCGUUAUCCGGAUUCACUGGGUUUAAAGGGUGCGUAGGUGGGCAGGUAAGUCAGUGGUGAAAUCUCCGGGCUUAACUCGGAAACUGCCAUUGAUACUAUCUGUCUUGAAUACCGUGGAGGUUAGCGGAAUAUGUCAUGUAGCGGUGAAAUGCUUAGAUAUGACAUAGAACACCGAUUGCGAAGGCAGCUGACUACAGGAACAUUGACACUGAGGCACGAAAGCGUGGGGAUCAAACAGG
rnacentral:rRNA from 1 species